GCACCGAGUGUGGGACCCACCAGGAUCUUCUGCAGGGAGGGAUGCCGGGGAGGUGGUUCCCAAAGGAAAGGAUGCUGGGGUGACAGACACCUAUGUCUCCUCUCUUGCGAGCCUUCUCUAACAUUCCCUGAAGAGUCAAGUGCUUCCUCCUAAGGGCUUCCAGAAGUCCUCAUUAAUAUCUCUCUCCCAGCUUGGGUUACUUUACUGUGUUUUUUGGAUUAUAUGUCUUCUCAUCCAUCGGAUGGUGACUGUGAACUGGCUGCCUCCCUGGACUGAAGGUGACAGCUCCUGCCAGACAGUUCUCUCUACAUGGCUUUGGGUUCUGGAAACAGCUCCCUUCACUCGCCCCUCCCAACCCUGCUCUGCUCUUCACAGCCCAGGGACUCAACACAGAGCCUUCCACACCACGGGCACUGAAUGCAUCCAGGAAUUAAGGACUGAUUAAGCAUCAGCUGGUUAGAGGAGUGUUGAGCCCUAUAUGGAAAAUGGACCAGCGGAGUAGCUUUCAAAUCUUUUUGGCAAGGCUCAUAGUAAAAAACAUAGCUCAUAUUGUAGUGCAGUAGACACAUACAUAUUUAUAUAUAACUGAAGGAGAAGUUUCUUGAGGCAAUGCUUCCCUUUAUGAUGUGUGAGGCACUGUGAUAUUUUCUACUUAAUUCUACUCUGUUUCAAAUUCGAAUCCUCGUUUUGGUCUGCUAAAUUGAUUUCAUGACCUGAAAAAUGAUUGCAAGCCAUGGCUUAAGAAGCUCUGCCCCGUGACCUUUAGCGUUGCCUCCAUUCUGGAGAGUCUGAUUCAGACGGUAGAAUUCUAAGGCAUCACAAAAGAGAAUGUGACAGUGUCACAGUGCUGAUGCAUUUGGUGGGAGUUGGCUUCAUUGCCUUGAAAAAAUCAAAUGAAAUUGCCAUUCAAUCUUCAGUUUUUCAUAGAAUUUUUACUCAAAGUUGGUCUUUUUUAGGUUUGGCCUAAUUUGGAGGAGGGAGUGGCUCAGAGCUCUUAAAACACGCUGACGUGAUGUGAGCAGUUUUAAGCAUCGGAUUCAAAAAGUCAGUGUCGGGGACCACAAGUCUGAGUGCUCCAGAGCAGGUCUGAAGUGGAAAGCUAAUCUUAUGUGCUUGCCUAAGGGUCCCCGGGUCUCUCCUCUGUGUCCUUGCUGCCACCAGCAGCUCCUUCUCCUCCUAGCAAAAGCAUUUCUUGGUGCCCUGGUUAUAUGUAGAACUCGACCAAGAGGACAACACGGGCCUAUCAGUGUCACCAGGGCCAUGCAAUCCAUUUGCGAUUAGAUAUUGUCUCACUGUUUCAAACUCAGCCCAGGUCUGUGGUCCUCCCCACCUCAAACACUGUAUGAUUCCAUUUUAAAAACUGAGUUCUAUGUUCUCUAAAAUUGACUCUCCGCUCCUAAUUCACCACUUGUCAUUCUCCUGGUAUCUGUCAAGUCAAG